CUGGACCCCAGGGACCGCACACUCAGCCCAGCAGCCCCACUGGACCACAGGGACAUAGAGACUCCAUGCCAGCACUCCCAAAGGUAGGGAGACUGGGUGGAGUAAAAUUUAAAAAAAUAAAAUAAAUUCUGUGUGUCUGUUAGUUUGUGUGUGUUUGUCAGUGAGAGUGUGUCUGCGUAUAUCAGACUUUUUGAAUGCGUCUGUAUAUGACACUGUGGGUGCAAGUGUGUGUAUUUGUGAGUCAAGAUGUGUGUAUGUUUCACAGUGUAUCUGUGUCAGAUGCAUAGAUACACACACUGGCACGUACAAACACAGAUAUACACACCUUGACACACACACACACACAGUGUGUGCAUCUGUGUCAGAUACACACCAAUAUACAAAAAACUGUGCUUUUUCUUAUUUCUGGGGGGGUUGGGGGUUCCACGAUGUUGAUACACAAAGGGACCCACAUGAAAAAUUAAUUGGGAACCCCUGCCAUAGACCAGCUAAAGUUUAUCUGUAGAAAGGAAAGAACUUUUAAAAUAUAAAUCUAGAUAUACCCUUAAAAACAGUACGGACAUCCCCUUCAUAUGUCAAUAUAAUAGAAAUAUUAAGUGCAUUCAAAAAACAAUAAACAGGCAAUGGCACAUCCUAAGAGACGAUCCUAUCUUAAAGAACAUCUUACCAUCAAAACCAAAAAUUAUAUAUAGAGGAAACAGAAAUUUAAAAACCAUUGUGGUAAGGAGUAGUCUAGAUCCUACUAAACCAGACCAUCUAAACAAUCUUGUAGGAUUUUAUGGCUGUGGGGAAUGUUUACCAUCAGAACCACCAAAAAUAAAAAAAUACAUCUUUUGGAUUUAAGUACUUUUUUGGGACAACAAUACAAAAUAAAAGACCACCUCACAUGUCACUCCAAAGGAAUAAUCUAUGCCCUGAAAUGUCCAUGCAAUCUCCUCUAUAUAGGGAGAACAAUACGCCCACUACACAUAAGAAUUGCAGAACAUAUACGCAACAUCAGAAAAGGUUUAGAAACGCAUUCCGUCUCUCACACAUAACCAAGAUCCUACGGUCCUGCAAUUUUGUGCAAUAAAUUGGUAACAAAAAAUUGGAGAGGAGGUGAUUACGGGAAUAAAUUAGGAAACGAAGAGAUGAAGUUCAUUUUUAAUUUCAAUACCCUAAUACCAAAUGGUUUGAACUCAGACUUCGAGAUUUGCCAUUUUCUUAAGAAAUAAUUCCCUCUUUACCAAGAUUCUCCUGUUCACUAUUAUUGACAUUUGUAUUAAUAGAUCAAUCAUUUUUGACACACACUGUAUUGGGUAAUUUUCAUUGGUUCUUAGUAUACUGUCAUACCUUCUUUCCUGUAUAUACAUUUUUUAUAUAUACUUUUGCAUUUUUUCAAAAUAUUUAUAAUAUUUUUUCAAUAUAUUUAAUAUUUUUUAUUGUAUAUUUAGCACAUAUGUACCUAUUAUACAUUUUGUGAUAUAUUUAAUCCUGUCAUUUUAAUCCUUUUUUUUUUUUUUUUUUUACCUACAUCUAAUUUAAUCUCUGACAUUUGAUGUACCAAGAGGACAUCUAAAAUAUACUUUUAAUCCUUUGGAAAAGCUUUUCAACAAAGACUGAUAGGUGUAACAACUUCUAGGAACUCUACAAAGGCAGACAAUACUUUAUUAAGUGGGUGGAACGCAUAUGCGUCCCAUUCUCGGAAAAACCGGAAGUGCGUUCUACUGACGGACGGAACGAAAACCGGAACAGGAAGUGACGACGGAACCCGGAAGUAACGAAGAUCAAGCAGAUGUCCAGCAUUUAUCCAUCAAAAGGGGUAUAAAAGGAUGAGAAGUAACAGAGCAACCUUAGGAGCAACUGAGGAAGCCCAUAUAUUGGGCGAAAUGCGUUUUGCUGAACUUUCCCAGAGUGGAUAACUGACUUUUUGUCCCUUAGUGGACCAUUUCAUAUUAAGAGACUUUUGAUUUGUUUUGUUUUUUAUUUUGAUUUUUUUUUUAAUACAUUUUAUUGCACUUUUUACCCUAAG
rnacentral:lncRNA from 1 species